rnacentral:sRNA from 1 species
UGAGUAAAUCUCCCUUUAAAUCAUCAGUUUAUCAUUUUUUUCUUUAAAGCAUGAACUCUGAACCUAGUGAUUAAAAUCCUCAAUUCUAUGUUCAAGAAUUCUCGUUGACUAAGCCAAUUGAGUCACAAAUUCUUUAUUUUUGACUCCAUCAGUUGAUCUAGAGACAAGAGAUUACUUCGAAUUCAAAGAAGAUGAAAGAAUCCAAAUAAGAAGAGAGAAAGAAUCAGAAAUCGAUUUUGGGAGUCUAGGGUUUGUGAUUUGGAGAAUUUCUAACAAUGUGCCUUAAUUGGUUUAGUCAACGAAAAUUCGCGAUUAAAUAUUGAAACAACCCGACCCGAUUUUUUAAACAUAAUUAAAUAAUCCUAUAAAUAAUUAAUUAAACCAACCAAUGAAGCAACAUUUAAACAGCAAGUCAAAAAUAUUAUUUAUGAAUAAAUAAAUAAUUCAACCAACAAAACCAAGAAUGACUAACAAUCCUAACACAACCCUAACCGGAUUCCAAUAACCAAAACACAAAAAUAAACCAAACAAGUUCCUAGAUCAUCCUCUCUUCCUUGUCAUGAUUCCACGAUCACACUUUAUCUUUACUUGCACCAAAAAGAAAGAGAUGCGUAAGUAUUAACACAAAUACUUAAUGAGGCGAUCCUCCCAUCUACGAGCUAUACACACAAGCAAAUAAAAGGGAUAUAAUCACAAAUACAAACCAGUCAUUGAACAAUUCACCCAAAACAAAUCAUACAACUCAAUCGCUCAGAUAAGCUCAUGGUCACGCAUUCACCUUAACAAAUUGAUCCUAACAACAAUUAAACCCACGAGAGACUCUCUAUGCGUCUGAAACAGUCCAGAAACGUCCUACAACAAGUCACACAACCAAAAGCAACCUUGAAGCAAACUGGACAUGAAAAUCAGAAACAAACAGUCU